AUCCAUAUUAUAAGCAUAUUUCCAGAAAGAAUAUGGGGUGUAAUGUCACACCCCACGUAGCAGUUUGUGUGCACCGAGGAGGCAGUUUGAUAGGGUGCACACAAACCUGGCCAGGGGGAUGGCUCAAGUGAAGCAGAACCUGCUAUGCUGAGUCAGUGAUAAAGCCGUCCUCACAGUCUUCUCUCUGGCCCCAUUGGGAUCCAUCAUCACAGACUUUGUCAAGUAAUCCCGUAUAACGUUCUAUGGCCUGUUAGUCCUACCGCCCAAGAUGCAGAUGUGUGACAUCUUCGUGUUUGCUGAAGAGAUCUUGGGAGAGCCACUGUCAAUGUCUGGUGGGCUCUUGCCUCACUUACCACACCACCUAUUGCACAGUGAAUGAGGCAAGGGCACCUGCCAUAGGGCCAGUGUGGAAGGGCCCUGGCCCCGAUGCUCUGGUAAUACUAGCUAAUGUAGCAGUGUCACAAUUAUUGAAUUAUUGUAUUUUGAAGAUGUGAAGUGGUGGAUCAGUAUUAACUAGUCCGUUUAUUUUAUUAUUUACACUGUGUUGAUUGUCCUAAUUAAAGUGACUCUUUUUUUUUCAGCUGCUAUAUUUCCUUCUGCUUGUAUCAAAAGAUACACAUAUCAUCUAUCAUUUGCACCCAUCACCUUAGUAAAGGAACAAACAUGAAAAACAAAUCACUGUCUGCGAAUGGAGCAUUUUCAUGUUCCCUCUUCCAUGAGGGAUUGAGGUCCCAGGACCGGGGCCUACAUCAGUAUUGUGGUGAGAGCUGCACGGAGGAAAGGAGCCAGCAGCCAUGUUACAGGAAUCACCCCAGUCUAAUGAGAUGACUGCUAUCUCACCUAGGAUCUUGGUCUCCAGCUGGGGCUCACUGGCCCUGUAGGGGAGGUUUCACAGCGACCGUCGCUGAUGCAAGAGCAGCUCCUGUUUCUGUGUGUGCUCCGGCUGACAGCAAGAGUCAAACUUUGGGCUCCCUUGGGAGCUAGAGGACAAUGGAGGGAGCAAAACAUCUGACAGAGCUGAGAAACAGCCCGCGUGUACAGUAGUCUCUUUUCAGAAUAUGAUACUGAUGUGUUUGCUGGACUCAUCUCUAUUAGCUCACAUUAUUGCCUGCAUGCAAAGAGCUGGAUUCCUGAAUGGGUUCCAAGCUAAUUAAUUGAAUGAAAUAUAUUGUUACCACACACAUUGCAAGCUGGCCUUGAAAUACAAAAGGCUGAUUAUGUGAAUCUAUGUGCUAAAUUCCUCAGCCGCCAACUCCUCCUGAAUUGUCACCUCCUCCCCUGGGCAGAAAGGUUCAUUGGGUGGUAGUAAUGUAGCUUAGAAUUGCGUGUUGCAUUUAUGAAUGGAGGCUUGUCAAUAACAUGAGAGGUGUGUCAAUAAAACAGCCUCUAGGGUCUGACCUGACUGCAGUGCAGGGACUGGAUUAAGCAUCUCAAGAGUGAGUACUGGAAAACCAGAGACCAGAACCCCACCUUGGGCUACUCACCGACAUUGUGCCUGUUUUCUGAGGAGUUUGACUGGGUGCUGGGUAUUGCACUGAACACAGAGCCAGCGAUGGUGCAUGACUACCUGGUUAGCCAGGAUGGUGCCCUGCUGGCCCCAGAAUCCAGCACGGGGACUGAUGGGAGCCAGGAGCAGGUGCCGAGUGAGGGCAGUGAAGAAACUGUUACUGAAACCGAUCCCACACAGCAGCAGCACAUCCUGGGGCUACACUUGAAAGAGCUCUUUAAUGUCCCAUCCUCCCCUGUGAGGAACAGCUUGCUGUGGAGACUGCAGCAGAUACAGACAGGACAGAAGCUGCCCCUGAGCCUGGUAGGCUUCUGACCCUGUUUUAAUGUUUAUUAUUAUUAAUAUAGGCAUGGCAGAGAUUUCUGCUCUAUUAACCAAUGCAAAAGUUAUGAGACACCCCAGCUAGCAGCAUAUAUCCACCAAUGGCGGAUUGUAUCCCAGUGCCGCGGCUUCCCAAUCACAUGGAGUUCAAAUGGUGACCUUGAAAUGCAAAUAGUAAAAAUGCCUUUACUGGAAAGGCACAGAUUUUUGGUCCGGCCAUUCCUGUUCCCUAAAAAUAAUAACUUUACAUUGCCAUGCCUGUUAGUACGCCGUUCUGUAACCACUCAGUGGCAUAAAGAGCCACUGGAAAAUGAACUGUCGGAGAGGGGAGAGGUGGAAAUGAGUUCCAGCCACAAAUCUAGUCCAUUUCAGGUAAAGAUAGUCCAUGCAGUUGACAAAAGCAGUUAUCCCUAAUUUGACCGGGGUUUGAAAAGGUAUCCUGAAAGGUGCCCUGGAGGAUGGGGUAUCAGAGAGAUGACUGUGGAGUUGUGUGUGUUUGCAUGCAGCCAUAACAGGCUAAGCCAUGUGGAAGCUAAUGGAGCAGCCUGUUGAUUCCCUCAUGAAUUUUGAACCAAUCCCAGGUGCUGAUCGAAACUUUUCCUGGAGCAGGAACCCCAGCUAGGCAGUCACAUUGCAGGGGAGGGUGUAUUUCCCAGGGCCAGCUUGGUAGCUGACCAGCCCACUCCACUAAUUAAUGUCCUGGUCAGUCUCUAUACGUUCGAAUACUUCACCUGCACUCACUGCGGGUUUCCCACCAGCAGCUUGGAAUAACAACUCCCUCUGCCAGCCGAGCAGCACAAGAACUGUUCUGCCCUCCAAAAUAUGGAAGGCCUGAAAUGAUAGAAAAAGCUUUUGUAGCGUUGCCACUGAUGGCACGCUGCCCACCCCCACACCCUCCCCCAGCCAACCCAAGUAAUUCUGCAAUUUUUUAGAGACAAAAAAAAUAGCCUAUCAUUGUCUCUGCACUUCUUUCGCUGUGAUUAACCAGGCUGUGUCAAGGGGCUUCUGUGCAUCCUUCUUGCAAUAUAUUGACGUUCAGUUUCGAAAAGUAGCAUUUUAUGUCCUUGAAAUUCCACAAGGAUUUUUCUGUGCUCCUGCAUGGGGGUCUUUGAGACAAUACCCCUCUGUGUCCUGUCCUGUUCUAGGCCCCUCACCCUCUAUUGGCUGCAGAACCUCCACAGUUCGCCCACAGUGCAGUACAAGGCUGGCCCAAUGUACCAACAUGGACCAUUCUAAGCGGAAAUGUUUCUUUGAUGAACUGAUGGUUGAAGUUCUGCAGAGAGCCACCAACAGAGCUGAGCAGCUGUUGUCAGUAAUAGCUACAAGAGUACCAGCUGUUGCUCCAUUAUCCACUCCACGGCCUGAGAUACCUGCACGGUACCCUGGGAUGCAGUCCAGAAACUCCAGGCCUGGGUGGCCCAUGCAGUCAGGCCCCAUGAGCAGCUGGGCAGGGCAACUUAGCCCCAUGCAGCCCUUUGUCUUGACCUCCUCCCCUGUUGAUGCCUCCAGCCCCUGCCCUGGCAUCAAGUGCUCAGCAAAUGGAGAACAAAGGGAAAGGAGAAUGGGGGCCCAGGGGACAUGCCACGGCAGGGGGUUCUGUCUUGUACUUGGUUCCACUGUUCACACUUGUUCUUCCAGUGGUUUUUGUGUUUUUUCCCCUGUAAGGUUCUGUUGUUACUGGCAUUUUGGUGUGGUAAUGGUGGCUCACCACCUCAGAAUGGGCAACUGUUGUACUUUUAUAACACGUAUGUAAAUAAAGAUUUGUAUGUCUACA